CCCUCCAUUCCCUGCAUAUCCAUGUGUUGAUCUAAAGUCUCUUAAACGCCACAUUCGUAUCUGCCUCCACCACCACCGCUAGCAGUGAGUUCCAAGCCCCCACCACCCUCUGUGUACAAAACUUGCCCCGUUCAACACCAAUUAUGCCCUCAAUAUUUGAUAUCUCCAACCUAGGAAAAAGGUUCUGACUGUCUACGUUAUCUACAGUAUUUCUUUCUUCCACAUUAUUCCACCUAACGUUUGCUCCAUACCCGAGUUACUGCUGUUAUUUCUUACACCCUGUCACCUUGUGUCCAUAACUCUAUUGUCAGUGAUACACGAUGUGUGAACGGUUAAUUCUACACGGCCAUCGUAGAGUCUGUCCUCACCUUCUCCAUCAUGGUCUGGUUUGGCUCAGCCACCAAGCACGACACCUGGAGGCUGCAGCGAAUCGUCCGAUCAGCUGAGAAGGUUAUUGGCUGCAACCUUCCCUCCAUUGAUGAACUGUACGCUGCAAGGGCCACGAAGCGAGUGGAUCAAACUACGCCAUUGGAUCCUUUAUGCCGGGAAAGUCUGUUUGAUCGCAAUCCACAGGAAAUGAAGAUGAGGUAGCACCGUGGUAGAGUUGCUGCCUCAAAGCGCCAGAGACUAGGAUUCGAUCCUGACCUCAGUGGGGAAGUCUUCACAGUCAGAAGCCACAGAACACAAGUUGACACAGCGUUCAAGCUCAAUGAAUAACUGAGAGUUUCUAAGAUCGAUGGUAAUUGUGGAAAGUAGAAUGAGUUCAAGCCAAACAUGUAGUUGACAGGAACAAUGAAACAGUGGUCGAAUAAUUUAUUAUGGACAAGAAAACUAAUAUUGAAGGAUGUUCAGCCAACGACAGUAUAACCGAUGAAGAGUGUAGUGAACCUGAAGAUAUAUUCAAGCAAAGUUCAUGUAAGAUGGACGAUGUCUUAUGUCAACAUGGAGAACAAAUAGAAUUGGAGUAGUUAGACCAAUCAACCAACUUGAAUAAAGACUGCCUCGGAGAAUUACAUUCAGACUUGAAAUCGUACUUGGGCAUGCUAUUGAAAGGAAAAGGUCUGCAGGUAUUACAAGCUAUAAUGUCAUUAUCAAGUCAAGAGUGUUUUAUUGUCAUGUGUCCCAGAUAGAACAAUGACAUUCUUACUUGCAACAGCACAACAGAAAGUGUAAACAGAGUACACUGUAAACAAUAUAAUAAAUGAGAAAAAGAAAGUUAUGUCACAUAUAUGUAACAUAUAUAUUGUGCAUAUAUAUAUACACACAGAUGCAC